rnacentral:rRNA from 1 species
GACGAACGCUGGCGGCGUGCCUAAUACAUGCAAGUUGAGCGCUGAAGGUUGGUACUUGUACCAACUGGAUGAGCAGCGAACGGGUGAGUAACGCGUGGGGAAUCUGCCUUUGAGCGGGGGACAACAUUUGGAAACGAAUGCUAAUACCGCAUAAAAACUUUAAACACAAGUUUUAAGUUUGAAAGAUGCAAUUGCAUCACUCAAAGAUGAUCCCGCGUUGUAUUAGCUAGUUGGUGAGGUAAAGGCUCACCAAGGCGAUGAUACAUAGCCGACCUGAGAGGGUGAUCGGCCACAUUGGGACUGAGACACGGCCCAAACUCCUACGGGAGGCAGCAGUAGGGAAUCUUCGGCAAUGGACGAAAGUCUGACCGAGCAACGCCGCGUGAGUGAAGAAAGGUUUUUCGGAUCGUAAAAACUCUGUUGGUAGAGAAAGAAACGUUGGUGA